rnacentral:rRNA from 1 species
UACGUAGGGUGCAAGCGUUGUCCGGAAUUAUUGGGCGUAAAGAGCUCGUAGGCGGUCUGUCGCGUCUGCUGUGAAAAUCCAGGGCUCAACCCUGGACCUGCAGUGGGUACGGGCAGACUAGAGUGCGGUAGGGGAGAUCGGAAUUCCUGGUGUAGCGGUGAAAUGCGCAGAUAUCAGGAGGAACACCGGUGGCGAAGGCGGAUCUCUGGGCCGUAACUGACGCUGGAGGAGCGAAAGCAUGGGGAGCGAACGGAUUAGACUAC